rnacentral:lncRNA from 1 species
GUAGAGCACCUUCUCUGAGCACUAGCUGGAACACGGCGGCUCUUCUUUCUUCCACUCUGAGACAAGAACACAUGCGCUUUUCCUAGUUUCGCUCUUGUGGCCCAGUCUGGAGUGCAGUGGCACCAUCUCAGCUCAUUGCAACCUCCGCCUCCCCGGUUCAAGCGAUUCUCCUGCCUCAGCCUCCCGAGUAGCUGGGAUUACAGGCACCCGCCACCAUGCCCAGCUAAGUUUUUGUAUUUUUAGUAGAGACGGGGUUUCGCCAUGUUAGCCAGGAUGGUCUCGAGGUCCUGACCUCGUGAUCUGCCCACCUCAGCCUCCCAAAGUGCUGGGAUUACAGGCGUGAGCCACCCCGCCCGGGCAAUUUGUAAAUUUUUAAGAAACGCCCUUUGUUGUACACAAAUUAGACUUCAAUAAAGUUAGCCUUAAAA